rnacentral:lncRNA from 1 species
UCGGGAUGUUUGCGCUUUUUGCAUGGGGACGACUCCGCGACGUCGGGGACGCCUCCGCAGUUUUAUCACCGAAAAACAAGUCCUCUGGAAUCCCCUGAGAGAGUCGACUCUGCACUCUCUGGGGACGACUCGGGAAGUCUGCUUUUUACUUGCGGGGGGACGACUCUGCGUCCUUCAGAGACGACUCGGGCGCAUCCCUUGAAAUCAGUCUUUCUGCCGCCUCUGAGAGAGUCGACUCCGCAGAGUCAGGAGUCGACUCCGACCCUGCGAGACGCCUCGCCAGGUGCCGGGGACGUCUCCAGACGUGCCAAUUCUUCCUGUUCGUGCUAGAGACGUCUCUGUGACAAACCAGAGACGUCUCGGCUGUCCCUGAUCUGUUUUCUUCAUCUCAAAAAAUUUUCAAUAAAUCCUUAAAAAAUAUGGGAACUUGCCUAGACAUUUCUUAACAAUAUUCUUAAUUAAACACCUGAAAUCCUCAAAUAAAUUGUUAAGAUAAAGAGAAUUAUACUCUAGUGUUUUGUGUUCAUCAAAAUCCAUUAGGGGGUCAACACUAUUGUCAUUAAGUACACGUGUGGAGAUCUAAUAAUAGAGCUCUGAUCAAUCAUAGUAUGCAUGUGUUCCUUGCCUUAAUAGUUGCACAAACUCAAUAUGAAAAUACAUGUGCAUACAUGUGCAUUUGCUCAGAAAAGAAAGUAAUAGAAUAAAUCAAAUGCAAAAAUAAAGUUUUUUUUUUUGCAAAAUAUUUCCCUCCCCCCAAAAUAAAGUAAUAGAAUAAUACCUUGAGCUGUUGAUAUCCAUAAAAGAAGACCUACAAAAUAAGAAAAAAAUAAAAGAAAAAAAAUAAUUCUAACUAAUAUACACAUACCUUUGUCGUCAAGCUCAGUCAUAAGAAGGCUCCUCCAAGGAAAAGGAGUCCUUUUCAUAUGCAAAAUUCUUAAGAAAAGGUUUUAAUCUGUGUCCAUUUACCUUAAAAAUUUUGUCAUCCUGUGGAUUCUCAAUCUCAACUGCCCCGUGUGAAAAAAUACUUUUUACAAUGAAAGGACCUGUCCAUCUUGAUCAUAACUUUUCAGGAAACAGAUGUAAGCGAGAGUCAUAACAAAGAACCUUUUAUGCAGGUUCAAA